GUCUGGUGGGUAGUUUGACUGGGGCGGUCUCCUCCUAAAGAGUAACGGAGGAGCACGAAGGUUGGCUAAUCCUGGUCGGACAUCAGGAGGUUAGUGCAAUGGCAUAAGCCAGCUUGACUGCGAGCGUGACGGCGCGAGCAGGUGCGAAAGCAGGUCAUAGUGAUCCGGUGGUUCUGAAUGGAAGGGCCAUCGCUCAACGGAUAAAAGGUACUCCGGGGAUAACAGGCUGAUACCGCCCAAGAGUUCAUAUCGACGGCGGUGUUUGGCACCUCGAUGUCGGCUCAUCACAUCCUGGGGCUGAAGUAGGUCCCAAGGGUAUGGCUGUUCGCCAUUUAAAGUGGUACGCGAGCUGGGUUUAGAACGUCGUGAGACAGUUCGGUCCCUAUCUGCCGUGGGCGCUGGAGAACUGAGGGGGGCUGCUCCUAGUACGAGAGGACCGGAGUGGACGCAUCACUGGUGUUCGGGUUGUCAUGCCAAUGGCACUGCCCGGUAGCUAAAUGCGGAAGAGAUAAGUGCUGAAAGCAUCUAAGCACGAAACUUGCCCCGAGAUGAGUUCUCCCUGAGACUUAGAGUCUCCUGAAGGAACGUUGAAGACGACGACGUUGAUAGGCCGGGUGUGUAAGCGCAGCGAUGCGUUGAGCUAACCGGUACUAAUGAACCGUGAGGCUUAACCUUACAACGCCGAA
rnacentral:rRNA from 1 species